rnacentral:lncRNA from 1 species
UUUUUUAAAAAAUUGUAAUUGGUUGGAGUCUUGGAGACGUCACAUGACAUGACUGUUAUAUUUUAAACUUUUUCUUCCGCAGAUUCAAAGUAAUUGUGAUAUUUAUAGUAAAAAAUAAUUUAAUCUAAAAUUACAUAUUAUUAAAUUCUGAUGUUGAUACUAUUAAGGUGCGUUUGGUUCGCGCUAUUUUUUAAAAAUUUUUAGUAAUCUAAUGAAAAUAAAAAAAUAUGACGGUAUUUGGCUAAACGCACUAAGUAAUCUAGUUGGUAAUAUUGGAUUCACUUGGUAAUAAGAUUCACACCAAAGUACUAAUCUUAUUCCCUUGAGGGAGGGUGGGUAUUCUCAUAUUAAUGAAUUUGGGUAAUCAUAAUAUGUCUAAUCUAUUUCUUUCUUUCUACCCGCCGGCUAAUUGAUAUUAUUUUUCGUUACACUCUAAUCUUAUAUCUCUUUUUAAACUUAUUUUUCUCUCUAAAAUUUAACUUUUUUUCUCUCUCUAAACUAAGCUUUCUCUCUCUCUCUCUUUCUAAAAUUUUAACUCUCUCACUCCCUCUAAUUUCGACUAUAUUUUUCUUUCUAUUUUUUUAAUUAUGCUCUUUCUCUAACUUAUACUUUCUCUUCCUUUUUUCUAAAAAGAUGUUGAAACUUUUGAUAACAUUAUCUAAAAUUAAAUAAAUAAAUAAAUAAAUUAAUUGUAUAUUUUUUGUAAUAUUAAAUAACAUGGCUAAUUAAUCUUACCGUGCGAACCAAACAUAGGAAUUCCACAUUCUUAGUAAUAAAAUGAAUAGUAAUAAAAUUCUCGGAGAUCUUUUAUUACUAGUAAUAUUUCAUAAUGCGAACCAAACGCAACACCCUUAGAGUUAUUUUUUAGAUCGAAC